CCCUUAGACGUUCUGGGCCGCACGCGCGCUACACUGACGAAGGCAACGAGCUUUCCUUUACCGAAAGGUACGGGUAAUCUUUUGAAACUUCGUCGUGCUGGGGAUAGAUCCUUGCAAUUUUUGAUCUUAAACGAGGAAUGCCUAGUAAGCGCAAGUCAUCAACUUGCGUUGGUUACGUCCCUGCCCUUUGUACACACCGCCCGUCGCUACUACCGAUUGAAUGGUUUAGUGAGGCCUUCGGAUCCGCGACUCGUUUGUGGAGAAGUUGGACAAACUCAGUCAUUUAGAGGAAGUAAAAGUCGUAACA
rnacentral:rRNA from 1 species